rnacentral:rRNA from 1 species
UGGGCAGGGGGGGGGGGGCUUACCAUGCAAGUCGACGAUGAAGCCCAGCUUGCUGGGUGGAUUAGUGGCGAACGGGUGAGUAACACGUGAGUAACCUGCCCUUGACUCUGGGAUAAGCCCGGGAAACUGGGUCUAAUACCGGAUAGGAGCGCCUGUCGCAUGACGGGUGUUGGAAAGAUUUUUCGGUCAUGGAUGGACUCGCGGCCUAUCAGCUUGUUGGUGAGGUAAUGGCUCACCAAGGCGACGACGGGUAGCCGGCCUGAGAGGGUGACCGGCCACACUGGGACUGAGACACGGCCCAGACUCCUACGGGAGGCAGCAGUGGGGAAUAUUGCACAAUGGGCGGAAGCCUGAUGCAGCGACGCCGCGUGAGGGAUGACGGCCUUCGGGUUGUAAACCUCUUUCAGUAGGGAAGAAGCGAAAGUGACGGUACCUGCAGAAGAAGCACCGGCUAACUACGUGCCAGCAGCCGCGGUAAUACGUAGGGUGCGAGCGUUAUCCGGAAUUAUUGGGCGUAAAGAGCUCGUAGGCGGUUUGUCGCGUCUGUCGUGAAAGUCCGGGGCUUAACCCCGGAUCUGCGGUGGGUACGGGCAGACUAGAGUGCAGUAGGGGAGACUGGAAUUCCUGGUGUAGCGGUGGAAUGCGCAGAUAUCAGGAGGAACACCGAUGGCGAAGGCAGGUCUCUGGGCUGUAACUGACGCUGAGGAGCGAAAGCAUGGGGAGCGAACAGGAUUAGAUACCCUGGUAGUCCAUGCCGUAAACGUUGGGCACUAGGUGUGGGGACCAUUCCACGGUUUCCGCGCCGCAGCUAACGCAUUAAGUGCCCCGCCUGGGGAGUACGGCCGCAAGGCUAAAACUCAAAGGAAUUGACGGGGGCCCGCACAAGCGGCGGAGCAUGCGGAUUAAUUCGAUGCAACGCGAAGAACCUUACCAAGGCUUGACAUGUUUUCGAUCGCCGUGGAGACACGGUUUCCCCUUUGGGGCGGAUUCACAGGUGGUGCAUGGUUGUCGUCAGCUCGUGUCGUGAGAUGUUGGGUUAAGUCCCGCAACGAGCGCAACCCUCGUUCCAUGUUGCCAGCACGUUGUGGUGGGGACUCAUGGGAGACUGCCGGGGUCAACUCGGAGGAAGGUGAGGACGACGUCAAAUCAUCAUGCCCCUUAUGUCUUGGGCUUCACGCAUGCUACAAUGGCCGGUACAAUGGGUUGCGAUACUGUGAGGUGGAGCUAAUCCCAAAAAGCCGGUCUCAGUUCGGAUUGGGGUCUGCAACUCGACCCCAUGAAGUCGGAGUCGCUAGUAAUCGCAGAUCAGCAACGCUGCGGUGAAUACGUUCCCGGGCCUUGUACACACCGCCCGUCAAGUCACGAAAGUCGGUAACACCCGAAGCCGGUGGCCUAACCCUUGUGGGGGAGCCGUCGAAGUUGACAAUGAAU